AAAAGCUUCAUUUCUCCAUUAGCCAGAGAGUUUUUUUUUUCUCUCUUUAAUUUAGUCCUUUUUUCGGGUUUAUUAGUGCUUAUGCCUUUUAAAAGCUUUUUUACCCUUCCGGUCUAGGAGCCUCCCUCUUCCCGAUUUGGGUUUUUUCUCCCAUUAUUGAGUGGAGUGUAAAUACUUUCUUGUUUUGAUGUUGUUGGCAAUGAGACUUAGUUGAGAGUUUCUGUUGGGGGUGGAGCAAGGCGGUAGCCCUACUUUUUUAUUUGGAUUACAUAUCGCUCCCCAUUAUCCUAAGUGAAGUAGUCGCUCUAAUCUUAAGAAAGGACUCUUCAUUUCUUUUUGUCGGCUCCUUUCCCACUAAGGUUAGAUUUGCUUAGUUAGUUCACUGUUUUGGUUACUUCUCUUGCUAUUUUUGGAUUGCAUGUUGCCUUCCUUGACUCUGGAUGCAGCCUUGUCUCGAUUCUGAUGUUGAACCCUCGUUUCUCUUUGAUGGUGUGACCUCAGUAAUGGUUAGAUCUAGUUCUUAUUCUUGUUCCUUAUAGUAUUUGAAGCUUUUGGUGGUUGGAGGUUCUUUAUGGGUCUCUAGUCGGUGUUUUUACAAGUUUAUCUUCCUGACUAUGUUCUGAAAUUCUCUUUCUCUUUAAAUGGUCUCCUUCUCCUUCGACUGCCAGUGGUUUUAAAACAUAAGUAGCGCUCCAUAUAUUAUUUUUGGAUCUGUUACUAAGUCAAGUUUUUGGGCUUGGAUGCUAGAAUUCCUUUAGAAAAUUGUCUUUAUUUUCUUUGAGCCUUAAUUAAUCUUGUUGUUUGGCUUGUUACUAUUCAUCAAUCAAUGAACUAGUAUAUUUUAGAUAUUAAACAUGUUUUAAAAGUAAAUAUAAAUUUGAGUAUAUAUUCAAAGUUAGAGACAAAGAUAAGAUUAACCAAAUUUAAAUAAUUACAUUUUUAAUUUUUUUAAUAGUGAUCUAUUUUAUGCAAAUUUUAAAUAUUAAAAAUUAUUUUGCUGUGUUUAUUUUUUUUAAAAUUGAUUUUAUUUUUUGAUGUGGUAGAAAAGGAGCUGAAUUGAUUACUCUGCAAAAGAAAAAAUGUGAGGUAGUUGAUGUAUAUGGGCAACCACUUUGACGUUUAAGUCAGUAAUUAUCAGAAAGAGCGAGUGUAAAUAAGUUGUUUGAACUUAAGAAAAGUAUAUAAGAAUGCGUAUCUUGAACUCUGUGUAUACUUCUUUUAUACUAAAAAAGAUGGAGUUAGUUGGUGAUUUUUCUAGAAAUCCGACUAGUAUCGGCUAGUGGAUAAAAAACCUCACAUUUGUAGACGUAAUGGGGAUAUGUUGUAUAAUCUCUUUUAACGAUAACUUAGGUGACAAGAAAUGCUCGACCAGUAAUAAGAGGACUAGUCUUCAGUCGUUUUGAGCAUUGACCUUUACAAUGACAAGUUCUCCUCUCUCGUGGGUGAGACUUCCGUGCGAAUGUCAUGGUUUAUUAAGGUCUUGCCACGUGACUCUGUCGUAUGGUGACAGCUAAUGGCAUAUUUUGGGGGAAUAUUGUGUCAUAUCAGAAGUCCUCCCAUCAGACUUCGACUCUUCAGAUUCAAAAAUUAUAGCUGUUCUCAUGGUGUUGGACAUGUGACAUGCACAAAUUGAUUCUCCAUAUCCACUUCUUUUCGCCUGUACUAGUCAUCAAUACUGCUUUGCCUUACUUCUCAAGCCACAUUUAGAUCAGCUGUCGAAACAACAAUAUAAAAUCUCCCUUUCGCCUACGAUCACCACUUCUGCUCUGAAAAGAUUAGUACUCUCGGCCUUAGGCUCUUGCAUUUUCUGAAAGUAACUCCUACUUUUGUCUUUUUUCAUACUUUAGAAAUGAACAGGUCCUCUUUGUCUUCUUGUUCUUUUUCUCAUUGUAGUUCAACCCCCAGCUCUUCCUCCAGCGGCCCCAUUCGUGCUCUGGCUCCUGUAGUUCCAUUGAGGUCAGCCCAUGAUAAUGAUAUCCUUCAGGUGAAUGACAUCCCAUUUGUGCUAACUGAGAUGGACGUAGAUAGUCUUCAUGACCAUUACAAGAUCUCCAAAGAGAUCUUCAUGAUUUCCGCUCCUAAUCUAAAUGUUCACGUAAAUGACCAGAUCACUGCUCAAGAUACCAUCAUGGUAUACGAGGAAUAGUUGAAGGUGGGUCUUCAUUUUUCGAUUGACCCAUUUUUCAUUGAAAUCCUCAAAAUCCAUAAACUGUAGUCGCCCAACUUCAUUCAAACAGUUGGAGGAUUCCCGUGGCCUUUCGAUUUGUGUGCUUCAAUAAUAAUAACAAUCUGAGAGUUGCUCUCUUCUCCCAGCUAUACUAGCUAGGAAUCCGGAGGAAUAAGGAGUUUUGGUUCUUCAGCGAAAAAAAGUCAGACUCUCUUUGACCAUAUCCUCUCUUCCUUGAAACAUUGAAAAAAUAAGUCUUUCAUUGUCUACCACCGAGUGUUCGGGGGCUUUAGACAACUCCAGACUGAUUGGAACAUUUAUGUGGAGCUCAAAAAGGGUGGAGUUCAACUAUAGAGAGACGAGGAAAAGGCUCUAGACUUCCUCUAGAAAAUGGCCUCGGUCCACAGAAUGGACAUUAACGUGGCCGUGAGGAACGCCACCUUAUCCUGGCAAAGCCACUUCCAAAUAGUGGAGUUCAACUGUAGAGAGACGAGGAAAAGGCUCUAGACUUCCUCUAGAAAAUGGCCUCGGUCCACAGAAUGGACAUUAACGUGGCCGUGAGGAACGCCACCUUAUCCUGGCAAAGCCACUUCCAAAUAGAACGAGCCCAGUUGCCUCGGCCAACCGGUUAUCAGAAACCAAGGAUGAUUUUAUUGUCUUCCUCAGAGUAAGGUAUUUUACUUUUUAACCAUUUUUACCUUUACAUUAUUUUACUUGCUCACUCUCUGUUUUAUGCAGAUAUGGCGGGUAAAGGAAAGAGCAAGUUUGCAAAGGUAGCUCGUGCUGCCCGAAAAAGAAAGUCCACUACUAGUACUGUGGGCCCUCCUCCAAAACGGGCAUGAUGGGCAGAAGAGAUUAUCAUUUUGCCUCCUCCUCCUCCUCCACCCUCAACUACAAUUGAGCCAUUUAUCAUCCAACUCGAGUCUUCCUCCAGGGAUGUUCCUCUAGUAUCGCCCCAUCAAUUCAGUGCACAAUACGAGGAGGCUAGAACUGGAGCCCUGUGGCCACAAGGCAUUCAACACUUGGCAAUGGCGCUGACCUAGGUGGACUCGCUUCUUGAGAAACCCCAGUUGUUAAUCCUUAUAGCCAAGAAUUCCUUGAGACCCAAUGACCGCCAUCGUCUGGGUGCUGUUGAGAUAGACGAACUAUAUGACAACAUCAUUCACUCUGCCAUGGAAAGCAUCCUAUGCACAUACUUAGCCAAGGAGCGGAACAAAGCUUUGAGGAGAGAGUUCAGUAGUCAGGAAACAGACAAAAACCUCCUUCGAGAGGAAUACUUAAGGCUGAAGGCUCGAAUCACCGAGGUAGAGAACACAAUGAACGAGACCCUCAAGUCUGUAGAUAAACUCCAGGCAGACCUAGAUGAAACCAACACUUCAAAGCUCGCCCUUGAGAAUCGAACUAAAACCGCCAAGGAUCAAGUGGCUAUCCUUCAACGGCAAGUCCAGGAGCAGUAGUCUCAUGCUCAAAAGAACCAAGCCAUCAUAGAUAGGGUGGCUGAACUGGAAGCUGAGCUUCAAUAGACAGUGGCUCGGGGUGGGAAAAUAUUUUUGGAAGGCCAAGAUUCUGUCAAGAAGGAGCUAAUCAAGCGUUAUCCUUCAAAAAACUUCUCUUGGAUCGAUGACAUUUUCCCAAAGGAGGAGGAAGAAGAGGAACAAGUAGAGGAGAGGCAAAAUAGCAACCAUUCUUUCGAUUCGACUUUAAUUGAAGAUGUCAUUAUAGUAGAAAAUAUAAUAGGAGCUCAAGAGGGGGUUAGCAAAGAAGACCCUCCUGCUUUAUAAUCUUUUCCCUCCAUUAAUGAGAAAAUAUUUUGUUCAUCUCGUCUUUAUUUUUAUCAAGUAUAAGGAUCGAUACCAACAACAUAAAAAUAACGGCGUAAAAUUAACUUAAAAUAUUUAAUGAUUUAAGCUAACACCCGAACCUUUGCUUGUCAGUUAUCCACCUCGAGGUUUAGACAAAAAAUGCCUUAAACUUUAUUAAUAGGUUUGAAACUCGGUCAUAUGUAUGACGAUUGCUCUCCUUGUAGUGUUCUUUGACAUAAAUUGCCUUAAUUCUUAUAUUUUAGGAUUAACACUCGAAAACUCGCUUAAUGGUCACUCGUCUUGUGGCGUUUUUUGAUAGAAAUUGUCUUAACCCUUGUCUUUUGGGGCUAAUACCUAAAGAUUCACUUGGCAGUCACUCGCCUUGUGGCUUGCCUGGCGAUUACCCGCCUUAUGGCAUUUUAUUUAGCCCAACGCUUUCAUGAAUCUAUCGUUUCUGAUAAUUCUAAUUUAAAUACUAAAAGAAUUGAAAAAUACAUCAUAAUUUUAUUGAUAAUAUUUCCAUGAAUUACACAAUACUCCAAGAAUAAAAAAUGACAUAGCCAUCUAACUUGACCAACUUAUAAUCAUUCGGACGAAUAACCUUGGAGACCUUAUAUAGUCCCUUCUGGUUUUCGCCUAACUCACUAGACUCGGCAUCCCUUCUUGUUAUGUCAAACUAUUUUAAGGAUUGGAUCUUCUAUGUUAAAGAUUCAGAUUUUGACUUAGGAAUUGAAUAUUAAUGACAUUUUAUUUCUACAAAACCUUGGUUUCCUUAUCGCUACUUGAUCCCCUGCAAUUAUGUGAAUAACCCCUACAGAUUCAUUUUCAUCAAGAUUGACCAGUGAUCUUACCUCAGGCUCUGACCCUUUUUCUUCUCUAUCUUUUAUAGCAAAUCUCAUUAUAGUUUCAUCUCUAAUGAGACUUUCAAUCUCGUCCUUUAGUUGCCUGCAUUCUUCUGUAGUGUGCCCAUGAUUUUCAUGAAAUCGACAAUACUUUAUUCUGUCCCACAUGUUCACUUUGUCUGGGUUAAGCUUGAUGGGCCAUUUGACCUCUUUGUCGUUUUUUCUAAUCCACAUCAAAACAUGUGUGCGUGAGUCAUUUAAAGGAGUGUAUUACUUACCUCGAUCUUCUUUCCCUCGAAACACGGGAUACCUCUUCCGAUCUCUUUUGUAGCCUUGCCUUUUUGGCUUCUAGGUUUUACUUUGACAUGUCUUCUUAUCCUCUCUUAGCGCCUAGACUUCAUCAUUCAACCAAAUGUAUUUUUGUGCCUUAUCCAUUAAUUGCUAAUAAGUGGCUAUUGGAUUCUUGAUUAACGAAUCCAUAAAUUUUAUGUUGCGAGUCCUUUUCUUUAAUUCCUCACAUGCUAUCUCGUGAUUCAAUUCUUCAAUCAGUAUUGCUUUAACAUUGAAACAUGAGAUAAAACUCCUUAAAGACUCGCGCUCUCCUUGUCGGAUUUUUCAUAAGUCGGAGGAGAUUUUUUUAGGAGAUAUACAAGUAGCAAACUUAGAUUUAAAUAAUAUAGCAAGUUGUGUAAAAUUGUAGAUAGAACUUGAACUCAAAUGCUGCUACUAUUUUUAGGCCAAACCUGUGAGAGUGGACGAGAAGACUCAGCACAAUACAAAUUCAUUGACAUCCUGGAGCUGCAUCGUAGUUCAGAAGAUAGCCAAAUGACUCCUAGGGUCUACCAUCCCGUCGUAUUUGUCCAAACUAGACAGCUUGAACUUUGUGGGAAAAGUCUUUGCAAGAAUUUCCUCUGAUAGGGGUGAAGAGUUGUCCAAACCAUAAUCUUCAUCUUGCUUCUUCUAGUACUACUUCCAAUUGACAUCUUUUGGGGUCUCGUCUGAUGAUUUCUCAUCUUCUAGUUUGGCCUUUCUUUUGGACUGCAUGUCUUUGGGGUCUCGAAAGAAACUUCCUCCCUUAUUCUGGGAGCCAUGAAUGAGGCCUUCUCCCGAGAUUUAUAUUGCUUGAGAGUUGCUUGGAGCUUUUUAAUGUAUUGUACAAUUUGCUCAUUGUUUGGAUUGUUGAGGUCUAUCUCAUUGACCAUGAGAGGAGUGUCCUGUCACUACCUGGGGUAUAGGAGACGAUGACUCCUUUGUUGGUAAUAGAUUUAGCCACAACUCAUGAGUUUUCAGCCAUUUUAAGGGUAAAGUGACAAAGAGGGAAAGCACUUUGAGUGAAAAGAUAAACAAAAAACUAAUCGGAUUUAUCCCAAAUGAACAAGAAAACUCAAUGGGUGAUCUCAGUAAUGUAACUAAAUGAUGUGGCUGAAAAUGAGCUAAAGAUGAUUGGUCACUCUACAAAAGAAAGAAAGUGAUGUGGUUGGCGCAUAUUGGCAAUCACUCUGACACUCAAGUUAAUAAUUUAUCAGAAAGGAUGAGUGUAAGUAAGUUGCUUGAACUUAAGAAAAGUGUGCAAUAAUGUGUACCUUGAACUCUGUGUAUACUUCUUUUACACUGUGAGAAAAUGGAGUUAGUUGGUGAUUUUCUUAGUAAUCCGACUAGUACCAGCCAGUGGAUAAGAAAUCUCGUGUUUGUAGGCGUAAUGGAGAUGUGCUGUAUAAUAUCUUUUAAUGGUAACUUAAAUGUUAAGAAAGACUCGACCAGUCAUAAAAGGGCGAGUUUUCUGUUGUUCCGAGUAUUGACCUUUACAAUGACCGGAUCUCCUCUCUUAUGGAAGAUUUUCAUGACCGAACGUCACAGUUUAUUAGAAUUUUGGCAUGUGGCUCCGUCGUAUGGUAAUAGCUAAUCGUAUACUUUGGACGGAUAUUAUAUUAUAUAAUUAUUGAUAUUUAAAAGUUUAAAAAUAAAUAGAUUAUUAAUUAAACUUAUUACAUCAAAAUCAGUUUGUAUUUAAAAGUAAAAUUCAAAUUUUUAUUUUAAAAAAAAUUAAUUAAACUUAUUUAGACAUUUUAUCAAAAAAAUAUUUGAUAAAAACCACAGACGAUCAUCAUGAUCGUAUGUUAAAUUAAAUUAAAUAAUAGAUGAACAUAGAUUUUAUUAAAUUAGACCCAAACGAACGAAUCCUCGCGGAUGAUCGUCGUAGAUCUGCAAAAAUCAUAAAAAAAGAAUAAAAAAAUAAAAA